rnacentral:lncRNA from 1 species
ACCUUCUUGUCGAAUGCUUUUUCACUCUCUGCUGAUAUGACUGACCAUGAUACAUGGCAGUUGAUCUCUUCUUCUUGAUCGAAUUCAGCAUCAGUCAACUUGGGACUUUGAGGGUGCUAUCUUUCUUUUGUUUUUUUUUCUUUUGAUUUUGCUUUUGAUUUGGUUUUGAUUUUGCACCCUCUCUUUUCUUUUUUUUUUUACUUUCUUUUUUUUGAUGCCCCAGUUGGCCGUUCUGCUGAUUCUCGAGAUACAACUGAGUGUGAUCUUCUUUUCUUGCUCAAGAAGUCGGGAAAUCUCGUCAGGAAUCCCUUCAAUCAUCAUCUUCUUCCGCUUCGAAUACAAGGAAUUCAAAAUUGGGAGAUGACGUCCGAUCACUAUGUUCAAUGGGUUUG